UACGUAGGGUGCGAGCGUUGUCCGGAAUUAUUGGGCGUAAAGGGCUCGUAGGCGGUCUGUCGCGUCGGGAGUGAAAACUCAGGGCUUAACCCUGAGCCUGCUUCCGAUACGGGCAGACUAGAGGUAUGCAGGGGAGAACGGAAUUCCUGGUGUAGCGGUGAAAUGCGCAGAUAUCAGGAGGAACACCGAUGGCGAAGGCAGGUCUCUGGGCAUUAACUGACGCUGAGGAGCGAAAGCAUGGGGAGCGAACAGG
rnacentral:rRNA from 1 species